UACGAGUGCCCCAAGCGUUAUCCGGAAUUAUUGGGCGUAAAGGGUGUGAUAGGCGGUUGUGUUUAGUCUCCAGUCAAAUUCGUUCGGCUUAAACCCGGGGGUCCGCUGGGGAAACGGCGACAACUCAGAAGGAUGCGAGGGGUGAGUGGAACUCAGUGGAGUAGGGGUGAAAGUCCGUUGAUAUCAUGGGGAACACCGGAAAGCGAAGGCAGCUCACUGGGCGCACUCCUGACGCUGAAACACGAAAGCGUGGGUGCGAAUGGG
rnacentral:rRNA from 1 species